UCCCUGGUGGCUCAGGUGGUAAAGAAUUUGCCUGCAAUGCAGGAGAGCCAGGUUCAAUCCCUGGUUUGGGAA
rnacentral:tRNA from 1 species